UCUGGAGCGUGGUUCCGCUCCGGAGGUUUUUUCAGGAAAGCCCCCCGGCGGCGCAGGAGACAUUACUCCGACGACAUUGACACAUACAAGGAAACAGCCCCGUUCCCUAGCCGAGGUCAGAAGAAUCCUGUCGCACACCAUACCACGGAAGAGUCCCGGGUGAGCCAAAGCGUCGGCCACCCGGGAGGACACCGCGGCACGGGGGAUUAGCUCAGCUGGCUAGAGCACCUGCUUUGCAAGCAGGGGGUCAACGGUUCGAAUCCGUUAUUCUCCACCCGAAACGAGUACAUUGACAUACUGGAGAAGCAGUGUAGGUAACGCUACACUGCGAGCAGACACAAAAGAGUAGAACACAACGAGCGCCGCAUCGAGACGCUCCCGGGGGCUCCAAGAAGCACCGGGAAGCGGCAAGAUACGGUAAAGCAAAGGCAAGGCGAAAAUAAACCAAUAAGUCGUAGACUUCUUGAAACGUACAACGGGACGAGAAGGGCGCAUGGGGGAUGCCUUGGCUCUCGGAGGCGAAGAAGGACGUGACAAGCUGCGAAAAGCCGCGGCGAGGGGCAAAUACCCUUUGACCCGCGGAUGUC
rnacentral:misc_RNA from 1 species